AUUGAACGCUGGCGGCAGGCUUAACACAUGCAAGUCGAGCGGGGACUUCGGUCCUAGCGGCGAACGGGUGAGGAAUGCUUGGGAAUCUGCCCAGUAGCGGGGGAUAACGUUUCGAAAGGAACGCUAAUACCGCAUACGCCCUACGGGGGAAAGGGGGGGAUCUUCGGACCUCUCACUAUUGGAUGAGCCCAAGUCGGAUUAGCUAGUUGGUGGGGUAAAGGCCUACCAAGGCGACGAUCCGUAGCUGGUCUGAGAGGAUGAUCAACCACACUGGAACUGAGACACGGUCCAGACUCCUACGGGAGGCAGCAGUGGGGAAUAUUGGACAAUGGGCGAAAGCCUGAUCCAGCCAUGCCGCGUGUGUGAAGAAGGCCUUCGGGUUGUAAAGCACUUUAAGCGAGGAGGAAUGGCUGAGGGUUAAUAACCUUCAGCAGUGACGUUACUCGCAGAAUAAGCACCGGCUAACUCUGUGCCAGCCGCCGCAGUAAAAC
rnacentral:rRNA from 1 species